GCCUGGGUAGCUCAUUUGGUAGAGCAUCAGCCUUUUAAUCUGAGGGUCCAGGGUUCAAGUCCCUGUCUAGGUG
rnacentral:tRNA from 2 species